rnacentral:rRNA from 1 species
AUACGGAGGAUGCGAGCGUUAUCCGGAUUUAUUGGGUUUAAAGGGUGCGUAGGCUGUGCGUUAAGUCAGGGGUGAAAUGCCGUCGCUCAACGACGGAGCUGCCCUUGAUACUGGCGUGCUGGAGUACGGAUGCCGUUGGAGGCAUGAGUGGUGUAGAGGUGAAAUGCUUAGAUAUCACUCAGAACAACGAUUGCGAAGGCAUCUGACGAAUCCGUCUCUGACGCUGAGGCACGAAAGCGUGGGGAUAGAACAGGAUUAGAUACCCUGGUAUUCCACGCCGUAAACGAUGAUGACUAACCGUCGGCGAUAGACAGCCGGUGGCCAAGCGAAAGCGAUAAGUCAUCCACCUGGGGAGUACGUCGGCAACGAUGAAACUCAAAUGAAUUGACGGGG